rnacentral:rRNA from 1 species
UAGUGGCGAACGGGUGAGUAACACGUGAGUAACCUGCCCUCCACUUCGGGAUAACCUCGGGAAAUCGUGGCUAAUACCGGAUAUGAGCACUCAUCGCAUGGUGGGUGUUGGAAAGAUUUAUCGGUGGGGGAUGGACUCGCGGCCUAUCAGUUUGUUGGUGAGGUGAUGGCUCACCAAGACGAUGACGGGUAGCCGGCCUGAGAGGGCGACCGGCCACACUGGGACUGAGACACGGCCCAGACUCCUACGGGAGGCAGCAGUGGGGAAUAUUGCACAAUGGGCGAAAGCCUGAUGCAGCGACGCCGCGUGGGGGAUGACGGCCUUCGGGUUGUAAACCCCUUUCAGUAGGGAAGAAGCGAGAGUGACGGUACCUGCAGAAGAAGCGCCGGCUAACUACGUGCCAGCAGCCGCGGUAAUACGUAGGGCGCAAGCGUUGUCCGGAAUUAUUGGGCGUAAAGAGCUUGUAGGUGGCUUGUCGCGUCUGCCGUGAAAACCCGAGGCUCAACCUCGGGCGUGCGGUGGGUA